UCCAUUAUCAGUUGCGAGUUGAACAUGAUAAUAUCAAUUGGGGGAGAGAUGUUGCUGAAGCCACCGACUUAUUUGGUUAAAGGAGUGUUACGAACUCCAGUAGGAAUUAGUGUGACAGUUAAAAGAAGAAAAGCUUAUAAUCCCUCAUUCUUUUCAAACUCUACGUUUUUCCAUAAUCAUUUCAACCCCAGGUUGUGUUCCAGUGAUGGCAUGGGUGAAGUUUAUGUUAACCCUCACCAGGAUUUUGAUAUGAUAAAUGAUGCCUCAUCUAAUGUCGCAUUGUUUGUUCGGAUGCUUGGCUUGGAUCACGACCUUCUAGAUAGAGAACAAGCAGUAAUUGCUCUUUCGAAAUAUUCACUUGGUGGAAAGCAG
rnacentral:misc_RNA from 1 species